CAUUACAGAAAGAGAGAUGGCUGGGCGAACAGGAUCGCUUUCAAGGACUCUUCUCUCCACCGCAAGAUCUUCGUCGUUCCGCUCCGCCCCACCACUUCCCCGCCUCCGCCCUCCUCCUCCCCUCGCCGCCCCUCGGCCCCCACGUAUCCGUCUCUCCUUCGUCAAUCCCAGGUCUCUUGGGGAGCUUGGGUGCACGCAGUCGCUCCUUCCACUUCACAGCGUCGUGGCCGCAGCACGCCUCACAUCGCACCUGUCGGUCGAUUCGCGCGCUUGUUGCGAGCUGUCUCAGGGUACCCUCCCCCGCACUUGUCAAGAUCGCUAGUAUUCUCUUUGGAGGAAUGGAAAAGAUCGGUGAUGUGAGAGAGAGGGCUGGCAUCAUUUGGACGCCGGAGAGAAUGGUGUUGCGGCUUCAAGCAUUGUACUUGAACAGCAGUCAGGAUGAUGCAGCAGUGGUUGCUUUAAUGCCAGUGUCAGUUACAAUAGUACUCCAUCGGAAGAGGAGGGAGGAAUCGUGGCAUGAUUCAACCAUUCAGUGCUGGUUUCAUGAUGACAUAGACUUUGUCACGAAUAAUUGAAAGCUAUGGUAACAUUUUGAGGCCGGCAAGUUAUUAGGAAAACGGUAGCAUGUUCUCUUUGUUUUGCAAUGGUUAGGAGAGGUCUUGUUGUUCUCUUUGUUUUGCAAUGGUUAGGAGGUCUUGUUUAUCAGAGAUUCUAUGUUCCAUGAUGUUUUGGGAAUCAAACCACUUUCGUUUUCUUUUCAAAAA